rnacentral:rRNA from 1 species
AUUGAACGCUGGCGGCAUGCCUUACACAUGCAAGUCGAACGGCAGCACGGGGGAACCUGGUGGCGAGUGGCGAACGGGUGAGUAAUGCAUCGGAACGUACCUUUCAGUGGGGGAUAACGUAGCGAAAGUUACGCUAAUACCGCAUAUUCUGUGAGCAGGAAAGCAGGGGAUCGCAAGACCUUGCGCUGAUUGAGCGGCCGAUGUCAGAUUAGCUAGUUGGUGAGGUAAAGGAUCACCAAGGCGACGAUCUGUAGCGGGUCUGAGAGGAUGAUCCGCCAAACUGGAACUGAGACACGGUCCAGACUCCUACGGGAGGCAGCAGUGGGGAAUUUUGGACAAUGGGGGCAACCCUGAUCCAGCCAUGCCGCGUGAGUGAAGAAGGCCUUCGGGUUGUAAAGCUCUUUCGGCCGGGAAGAAAUCGCACGGGCUAAUACCCUGUGUGGAUGACGGUACCGGAAUAAGAAGCACCGGCUAACUACGUGCCAGCAGCCGCCGUAACAC